CUUACCCAGAUAUCAAAUAAACAUGAAAAUUAUUUUACAUUCGCAUCAAUGGGUUUGGCUAAAACAACAUUCUGGCAAUAAGAUCAGAGUUUGCCCUACAUGCUUACAAUGUUGUAGGUACCUAUUCAUUCAUUCAUACAGAAUCAUUUAUUGAGUUUCUUCUAUUUUCCAGUUUCUCUCUAGGUAUUGAGAGAUCGAUGCUAUACAAAUCCUGCCCUCAGAGUUCUGAUCAUCUGUUCAAAAUAAUUUUGCUUCUAAGACUCUACCUCUUUGAGAAAAGAUGGUUGCACAUACCGUUUUACGGAGUGCCUGCAGUAAUUCUGUGCCCUCUGAGGAAUCUGGUGCUUGCGGUUUGGGACUAUCGCCAUGCUAGAUUUCAUGUAUGUUUCAUGUACUGCACCUGACCUGACGCCUCAGUGUUGCCAACAGAAGACUGUGCAGCCGUUUGGUAG